UACGUAGGGUACAAGCAUUAAUCGGAAUUAUUGGGCGUAAAGGGCGCGUAGGCGGGGAUAUAAGUCAGGUGUGAAAUACCAAAGCUCAACUUUGGUGCUGCAUUUGAAACUGUAUUUCUUGAGGACUGACGGAGAAAGCGGAAUUCCACGUGUAGCGGUGAAAUGCGUAGAUACGUGGAGGAACACCGGUGGCGAAAGCGGCUUUCUAGUUUUUACCUGACGCUGAGGCGCGAGAGCAAGGGGAGCAAACAGGAUUAGAAACCCCGGUAGU
rnacentral:rRNA from 1 species